rnacentral:rRNA from 1 species
UACGAAGGGUGCAAGCGUUGUUCGGAAUCAUUGGGCGUAAAGCGCGCGCAGGCGGAUCAGUAAGUCAGAUGUGAAAUCUCGGAGCUCAACUCCGAAACUGCGUCUGAAACUACUAGUCUAGAAUGUCGGAAGGGGUAGGGGAAUUUCACGUGUAGGGGUAAAAUCCGUAGAGAUGUGAAGGAACACCGGAGGCGAAGGCGCCUACCUGGACGACUAUUGACGCUGAGGCGCGAAAGCGUGGGGAGCAAACAGG